rnacentral:rRNA from 1 species
UUAGAGUUUGAUCCUGGCUCAGAUUGAACGCUGGCGGCAGGCCUAACACAUGCAAGUCGAGCGGUAGAGAGAAGCUUGCUUCUCUUGAGAGCGGCGGACGGGUGAGUAAUGCCUAGGAAUCUGCCUGGUAGUGGGGGAUAACGUUCGGAAACGGACGCUAAUACCGCAUACGUCCUACGGGAGAAAGCAGGGGACCUUCGGGCCUUGCGCUAUCAGAUGAGCCUAGGUCGGAUUAGCUAGUUGGUGAGGUAAUGGCUCACCAAGGCGACGAUCCGUAACUGGUCUGAGAGGAUGAUCAGUCACACUGGAACUGAGACACGGUCCAGACUCCUACGGGAGGCAGCAGUGGGGAAUAUUGGACAAUGGGCGAAAGCCUGAUCCAGCCAUGCCGCGUGUGUGAAGAAGGUCUUCGGAUUGUAAAGCACUUUAAGUUGGGAGGAAGGGCAGUUACCUAAUACGUGAUUGUUUUGACGUUACCGACAGAAUAAGCACCGGCUAACUCUGUGCCAGCAGCCGCGGUAAUACAGAGGGUGCAAGCGUUAAUCGGAAUUACUGGGCGUAAAGCGCGCGUAGGUGGUUAGUUAAGUUGGAUGUGAAAUCCCCGGGCUCAACCUGGGAACUGCAUUCAAAACUGACUGACUAGAGUAUGGUAGAGGGUGGUGGAAUUUCCUGUGUAGCGGUGAAAUGCGUAGAUAUAGGAAGGAACACCAGUGGCGAAGGCGACCACCUGGACUGAUACUGACACUGAGGUGCGAAAGCGUGGGAGCAACCNG